UUGCCCCCCCUUUUUUUUCCAGCCUAUGUCCUGCCCAAGCUGUACGUCAAGCUGCACUACUGCGUCAGCUGUGCCAUCCACAGUAAGGUGGUGAGGAACCGCUCACGGGAGGCCCGCAAGGACCGGACCCCCCGCCUCGCUUCAGGCCAGCGGGCGCAGCCCCACGGCCUCCCCCCAAGCCCAUGUAAGGAGAAGAUAUCUGGAAAUGUCCCUGGGCUGAAAAUGUCCCUGAGUUCAGUCUGAAUAAAGGACUUGAGACCAAA